rnacentral:lncRNA from 1 species
UAUUUCCAAUUCAUCCUUCACUACACGCAUCAACUCAUAUACUGCCCCCAUAGUAGGAUACACUUCUUUGUCAACGAUCCGUAAAACUUUGUAAAGAGGUUCAAACACUUGACACACAUGUUCUGUUUGAGUCCAAAAAGCAUGAUCAAGCACUAUACUUUCCACCAUACGACCUGUAUUUGAGCCGCUGAAAUUGUGGUUGGCCCAAUCGUCACUAGUGAAU